UGCCUUAGUAACGGCGAGUGAAGCGGCAACAGCUCAAAUUUGAAAGCUGGCCCUUUUAGGGUCCGCAUUGUAAUUUGUAGAGGAUGAUUCGGCGAGGGCUCCUGCCUAAGUCCCCUGGAACGGGGCGUCAUAGAGGGUGAGAAUCCCGUAUGCGGUAGGUUGCCUUAGCCAUGUGAAUCUCCUUCGACGAGUCGAGUUGUUUGGGAAUGCAGCUCUAAAUGGGAGGUAAAUUUCUUCUAAAGCUAAAUACCGGCCAGAGACCGAUAGCGCACAAGUAGAGUGAUCGAAAGAUGAAAAGCACUUUGGAAAGAGAGUUAAAAAGUACGUGAAAUUGUUGAAAGGGAAGCGCUUGCAACCAGACUUGUCCGCAGUUGCUCAGCCGGUCUCCUGACCGGCGUACUCUUCUGCGGCCAGGCCAGCAUCAGUUCGGGCGGUCGGAUAAAGGCCUCGGGAAUGUAGCUCCUCUCGGGGAGUGUUAUAGCCCGGGGUGGAAUGCGGCCAGCCUGGACUGAGGAACUCGCUUCGGCAAGGAUGCUGGCGUAAUGGUUGUAAGCGGCCCGUCUUGAAACACGGACCAAGGAGUCUAACAUCUAUGCGAGUGUUCGGGUGUCAAACCCGUACGCGUAAUGAAAGUGAACGGAGGUGGGAACCCGCAAGGGUGCACCAUCGGCCGAUCCUGAUGUCUUCGGAUGGAUUUGAGCAAGAGCAUAGCUGUUGGGACCCGAAAGAUGGUGAACUAUGCCUGAAUAGGGUGAAGCCAGAGGAAACUCUGGUGGAGGCUCGCAGCGGUUCUGACGUGCAAAUCGAUCGUCAAAUUUGGGUAUAGGGGCGAAAGACUAAUCGAACCAUCUAG
rnacentral:rRNA from 2 species